rnacentral:lncRNA from 1 species
GUUCGAAGAAACUUCCCCAAAUCUGACAAGUGAAUAUUCUCAUGGUUGGUGGAAAAGUGCCUGAUGUACCAGAAAGAGCACUGGACUUGGAACCAGAAGACCUGGGUUUGGGGUGGUAGCUGGUAGGCAGCUGGCUGAGUGACCUGAGGCUGAUGCUACGCUCAGGCACACAGAUUUUCUGUUUCAGGAGCUCCAGGUCACUGGCAGAGGUAAGCUCAUCCCGAAUGUGACUCCAGUCGUACUGCUGGCGCAGGAAGCUCUGCCACUUGUUGGGGGAUGCCCCAGGCCUUCGAGGACGCUUGCUCUGGAUCCAUCGGGCUGUGCGCUCGUUCAGCUUUUCCAGCACAGUGGCCUCCCACGCUCUGGCCUCCUUCUCAGGAGGCAGAAGCCAGGCUUCUCUUUCCUCCAGGUUCACAUCUAGAGAAGGUGGCCGACCCAGCAUAUCUGGAUGCAUGCAGGGAUGAUGGAUGAGAGGGCGGGGUGCUUCCCGGACGGUGCUGGCUGGCUUUGAUUUCUUCAGCUUCUUUUCGGGAUUGGCAGAGCUUUCUGUCUUCACAGCCAGGGAGGUGUCUCCUGUUAAGGGACUUGAGGAACCCAGGAACUUGAAGCUAACAGGUUUCUGAGGCCGGGCCUUCCUGAUCUGGGGAGUAUGGAUGAUGUCAUUGGUAUUGUAGAGGUGGUCAAAGCUGUACUGGCUAUAAGGAAUGCUGGGCAGGCCUCGCUGCCACACCACCUCCUGAGAGAAGGUAAGGUUUGCAGCAGCCAUUUUCAAAUAUUGGCUCUUGCGGUGUAGACGGUACUGUGAGCUGAAGAAGACCAUAGGCACACUGGAGACAGAGGCACACUCCUCCUUGCCUUUCAAUUUUGAGUAGUUUAAAAUCAUGCCCCAUCCCAGUCGUGGGGGCAGUGACUGAUAGAAGCAAUGGGGGAGAAAGGUCUUUCCC